rnacentral:misc_RNA from 1 species
CAAGGAAAUCCGUCGGCCGCCUUCGGGCGGAACCCCCGGCGGAUCCCUCACCACUGUGAACACAAACUUCGUUGCCUCGGCGGACUGGCCUACCCGGCCGCCGCCGACGGACAUACCAAACCAAUACGUCUACGAGCGUCUUAUGAAAAACAUAAAUUGAAUA